GACAGCCACACCCGCGCGCCUUCGGCCUGAAGCCCGGUCAUGGCGCCGGGAUUGGCGACAUGCGCGGUGAUCAUCGUGCCGUCGGCCAGUUCGACGUCGGCGAGGAAACGCUUGUAGCGGCGGAUCAGGGUCGCCGGCACCAAUUCGCUGGCAAAGCGCAUUGAUGUCAGCUUUGCACGUCGACGACGGUUUCGACCGGCAGCGCGCCGCCCCGG
rnacentral:misc_RNA from 1 species